GAAAGCAAAUGAUGUAAUUAAUAUAAUCUUAUACUACACACUGAAUGAAUACUUCGAUGUAGAAAAUAACUCUCUAUUAUUUUCUGAUGCUUUU